GGUGGAGCCGCUGAACCGAGGUGGUAGUAGGUAAGUGAUGGGGUGACGCAGGAAGGUAGUCCAGCCCGGGCGGUGGUUGUCCCGGGGUAAGGGUGUAGCCCGUGUGGUAGGUAAAUCCGUCACACAUGAGGGUGAGACCUGAUGCCGAGCCGAUUGUGGUGAAGUGGAUGAUCCUAUGCUGUCGAGAAAAGCCUCUAGCGAGUUUCAAGGCGGCCCGUACCCUAAACCGACUCAGGUGGUCAGGUAGAGAAUA
rnacentral:rRNA from 1 species